UACAGAGGUGCUCAAGCGUUGUUCGGAUUCAUUGGGCGUAAAGGGUGCGUAGGUGGCGUCGUAAGUCGGGUGUGAAAUUUCGGAGCUUAACUCCGAAACUGCAUUCGAUACUGCGGUGCUUGAGGACUGGAGAGGAGACUGGAAUUUACGGUGUAGCAGUGAAAUGCGUAGAGAUCGUAAGGAAGACCAGUGGCGAAGGCGGGUCUCUG
rnacentral:rRNA from 1 species